rnacentral:rRNA from 1 species
GAUGAACGCUGGCGGCGUGCUUAACACAUGCAAGUCGAACGGACAGGCCCUGCUUUUGUUGCUUUCUCGAUUGGCGAACGGGUGUGUGACACGUGUGUAACCUGCCCUUUACUUUCGGGUAACUUCAGGAAACUGCGGCUACUACCCGAUAGUAGCUCCUGCUCCAUGUUGUUCGUUGGAAAGUUUGGGCUGUUGUGGAUGGACUCGCGGCUUAUCAGCUUUCUUGUGUGGUAGUUGCUUACCAAGGCUUUGAAGGGUAGCCGACCUGAGAGGGUGACCGGGGACAUGGGGACUGAGAGACGGACCAGACGGCUACGGGAGGCAGCAGUGGGGAAGAUUGCACAGUGAGCGGAAGCAUGAGGCAGAGACGUCGGGUGCGGGAUGACGGCCUUCGGGUUGUGAACAGAUGUAGACUGAGACGAAGAGUGAGUGACGGUAAUGGGUAAAGAAGCAACGGCUAACUACGUG